GACGAACGCUGGCUGCGUGCUUAACACAUGCAAGUCGAACGCUGAAGCUCUGGUGCUUGCACCGGGGUGGAUGAGUGGCGAACGGGUGAGUAACACGUGAGUAACCUGCCCCUGACUUCGGGAUAAGCCCGGGAAACUGGGUCUAAUACCGAAUAUGACCGUUCCUCGCAUGAGGGAUGGUGGAAAGUUUUUUCGGUUGGGGAUGGGCUCGCGGCCUAUCAGCUAGAUGGUGGGGUAAUGGCCCACCAUGGCGACGACGGGUAGCCGGCCUGAGAGGGCGACCGGCCACACUGGGACUGAGACACGGCCCAGACUCCUACGGGAGGCAGCAGUGGGGAAUACUGCACAAUGGGGGAAACCCUGAUGCAGCGACGCAGCGUGCGGGAUGACGGCCUUCGGGUUGUAAACCGCUUUCAGCAGGGAAGAAGCCCCUUGGGGUGACGGUACCUGCAGAAGAAGUACCGGCUAACUACGUGCCAGCAGCCGCGGUAAUACGUAGGGUACGAGCGUUGUCCGGAAUUAUUGGGCGUAAAGAGCUCGUAGGUGGUUGGUCACGUCUGCUGUGGAAACGCAACGCUUAACGUUGCGCGUGCAGUGGGUACGGGCUGACUAGAGUGCAGUAGGGGAGUCUGGAAUUCCUGGUGUAGCGGUGAAAUGCGCAGAUAUCAGGAGGAACACCGGUGGCGAAGGCGGGACUCUGGGCUGUAACUGACACUGAGGAGCGAAAGCAUGGGGAGCGAACAGGAUUAGAUACCCUGGUAGUCCAUGCCGUAAACGUUGGGCACUAGGUGUGGGGGACAUUCCACGUUCUCCGCGCCGUAGCUAACGCAUUAAGUGCCCCGCCUGGGGAGUACGGUCGCAAGGCUAAAACUCAAAGGAAUUGACGGGGGCCCGCACAAGCGGCGGAGCAUGCGGAUUAAUUCGAUGCAACGCGAAGAACCUUACCAAGGCUUGACAUACACCAGACCGGGCUGGAAACAGUCCUUCCCCUUUGGGGUUGGUGUACAGGUGGUGCAUGGUUGUCGUCAGCUCGUGUCGUGAGAUGUUGGGUUAAGUCCCGCAACGAGCGCAACCCUCGUUCUAUGUUGCCAGCACGUGAUGGUGGGAACUCAUAGGAGACUGCCGGGGUCAACUCGGAGGAAGGUGGGGAUGACGUCAAAUCAUCAUGCCCUUUAUGUCUUGGGCUUCACGCAUGCUACAAUGGCUGGUACAGAGAGAUGCGAGACCGUGAGGUUUUAGCGAAUCCCUUAAAGCCAGUCUCAGUUCGGAUCGUAGUCUGCAAUUCGACUACGUGAAGUCGGAGUCGCUAGUAAUCGCAGAUCAGCAACGCUGCGGUGAAUACGUUCCCGGGCCU
rnacentral:rRNA from 1 species